CGUGUAUGAUGAAGGUCUUUGGAUUGUAAAGUACUUUUAUUGGUGACGAUGAUGACGGUAACCAAUGAAUAAGCUCCGGCUAACUUCGUGC
rnacentral:rRNA from 1 species